rnacentral:lncRNA from 1 species
AAAAAGGUGAGUUGUUCACACACACCACCCCGCGCCGUCUCCUCCCUUGGCAACGGCAAGGCGCCGCUGCCUCCCUCAAGUUCUCCGACAACCGCAGCGAAACAGCCGCCGCUCGUGGGUCAAGCGGCGCUGCCGCCAUCUCAUCUCUCUCACUGUUUUCAGGCAACAACGAUCGUCGCCGCCGACUCCCUGAGACAGACUGGCGAGCAGCAACAAGCCACAACCACCGCCCUUACUCUCUCUCAUUUCCGUCACUCUGUGACGCAACGGUAGUCACCAUCGUCCGUAUCUCAGACGCCGGUGCUGCCUCUGA